ACAUUGGGGUCAGCUGAAUCUGGAGGGGCCACGUUACACUAUAUUGUCGUAGCACCACAUUAUUCAGCUUGUUCCAUUGUGUUAUG
rnacentral:pre_miRNA from 1 species